GGUGAAGUGUUCGGAUCGC
rnacentral:siRNA from 1 species